AUGCGAUAAGUAAUGUGAAUUGCAGAAUUCAGUGAAUCAUCGAAUCUUUGAACGCAUCUUGCGCUCCUUGGUAUUCCUUGGAGCAUGCCUGUUUGAGUAUCAUGAGCAAAUCUCAAAGUCAAUUCCUUAAUUGGUUUUGCUUUGGACUUGGAGGUCUUGCAGAUUUCACAGUCUGCUCCUCUUAAAUGCAUUAGCUGGAUCUCAGUAAUUAUGCUUGGUUCCACUCGGCGUGAUAAGUAUCACUCGCUGAGGACACUGUUAAAAAGGUGGCCAGGAAAAUACUGAUUGAACCGCUUCUAACGGUCUAUUAAGUUAGACAAUUGACCCUUAAGUUUGAUCUCAAAUCAGGUAGGACUACCCGCUGAACUUAA
rnacentral:misc_RNA from 1 species